AGCAGCAUUUUGUUCUAUGGCAGUACCCCAGGCUUGCCAAGGAGGCCACAAGGAAGAGAUCACAAAAUUCAGUGCAGUAGCAGCUGAACCUCACUCCAGCUGAGGUUACUUUUCCCAAGCCAGCUGCAGAACCAUCAAUGUACUGGUUAAUGGGCGAGAUAUCCGGCCCCUCAAAAAUGCAGACUGAUUUGGAUCUUGCCCUGGCAGAAGAGAAAAUAAAUCCCAAACCUGUAGAAAUUCUUCUGAGUCUCUUCCACUAUCACAAAUAAAGAACCACUGGAGGAACA